GGGGGGGGGGGGGGGGUUUGUUUGGACCAAAUGGACCAGCUUUUCCAAUGUUCUCAUUUCUGAAAACCAUCCAUCCCAUCACCCAAAAUUGGCGCAAUGAGCUCCUAAGAGCCUUCAGCACAUGGACUCCCCUCUGUGAGUUGGGAUGUGCUUUUUGCACUUAUUGUGGGCCUGUAUGUUAUAUUUGGAUCAAUUGGAAUAGUUGUAGGCCAGAAUGUGGUGUUGGUGGUGGCGAGAUUUUCCUGUUUUUGGAGAGUACGCCUUUUAUAUUCCAUCGUUUUGGAGAAAGAGCACGACCUCCUUGUGCAUCCGAGACGACCAAGUGAAAAAGCACUGACCGUCGUGCACUGACAUUCACAUGUGACUCUUUCUUGAAUUCCUUUAACGUUUUUAUUACAUUGCCAAAGAACCUGUGCUUAAAUCCAAGGUAGUACAUUUUUACGCUUCCCAAAGACACCCAGUUCCUACAAUCCCAGAACCAACGACUGAGAUCUAGCAUAUUCAAAUGUGCGACUAGGAAGACUAACUCUACUUCCAUCCUCUGAUAUUUUGAAUAUCAUUCUCCAAGGGUAUGCCUGAAAUGGUGCCAUCUAUGAUUUUCCUAGCCGAAAACAUGUUGCACAAAAUUCAUGUUUGGGUUGAACAUGUUUCAUGGAGCUUUAUAUCAUUAUUCCUGUAUAAUUGUAUUUCAGGAGCGUGAUUGGUCGGCAAUUGAUCAGCAUAUCCAGCUUAAAUUAUACGGCCCUUUCCAUUUCCCUAAAAAAAAGUAAUUGUAAAAAAAAAUGUUAUUUUGCUCUAAUUUGCUUCUCCAUAUGUUAUGAGCUAUGUAUAAGAUAUCAGCAAUCAUUUGGCUGAAGCAAUCAUCAGUUGUGGUGUAAAUAUGAUGAAUAGGCAGCUGUAAGGCUGAAACUCCAUAUGCACCUGUUCUAUUAUUGGAUUUAUUUUUAAACUGUGUUUUAAAUUGCGUCUUACAGGGUUUUGUGUAUGCUGCAUGAAAAAAGUGGAUGGUUUUAAUUGAUUUGGACUUUAAAUCGGCCUCGUGUCUUAUUUCCUUGCUUUCUGCCAGCUAAUGUGUAGCAAAGCUUUUCAGUUAUAAGAAAACUUGAGCAUUAAGUGAUGGAAAUGUUAUGCGUUUGAUCGAAUGCCGAUUGAGUUCAUUUCCUGACAAACUGCAGACAAGAUGGGGCUGUGUGUGAGUUGGUUGGUUUCUUUUUAUUUUUUAUCUUUAUUAAUUUAUAAAUGCGAGUCUGAAAAAUGUUACUGUGAAAUUUGUCAUAUCAACUUCCAAAAGAGCAAGUGAAGCCUUUGUUUUUUUGUUCGAGGCCAAUGAAUGUAACUCGUUUACCCAUGUUCAUAGUUAAUUAAAGAUGUACACAAGCACUACCACUAAAAAUAAAGUU